UUGCAUGUGCAUAGAUGUUUCUGACAUUGUGCUGAAUCACUAAUGUAAAGGCAUGCACCAAUCCUGCCCCACCUCUACAGUCAGUGACUUUUCCAGGCCAUGUGACAUGACACUGACUCCUUUUCGUUCCAGACCACAUGCUUCCCUGCCCAAUUAGCAGCAGUACAGUGAGUUUGAAUGCUGUGAGUUACUGUGAGGAGAUAAUCGAUUUGAGAUCAGAGCUGCCGCACAGUCAGAAACACAGUCUCUGAUUGGCCGACAAGUCAGGGACUCCUGCAGUCUCUUACUUGUUGAGUCAGUCUCAGACUCAACCCAGGCUAUCAUGGACGGCAAGUUGACAGCUAACAACAACAACUGGUAACAGGAGACUGCAGAGCUUUUCUGUCUGUCCAGGGACCUGCACUGCCUGGGGCUACCAGCCACAACACAACUCAUCUCCGACGUCCCCUUGUAGCUGCCCUCUCACCCCACACUCCCCCCACUGCUGCAUCUCCCUGAGCCAAAGAGGAAACAGCCAGAAUGGAUGACUUUGUUUGACGCUCAGUCCCAGACCACCACCCCACCCCACCUCAGUCUUACAGAUCUCAUCAACCUCGUUUCCAGCUUGGUACCCAACCUCCUCUGGACCAAACAACAGACAAAGUUGGCAACAGAUAGUGUAUUUAGCAGGUUGGAGGAAUUGUCAGAAAGCUUCUACUAACAAGGCUGGAUCACCAACCAGACAGAGGAGACCACAGCCACCAGAACCUUUGAAGGCCGGAGGUUCUCUUUCGGGAAAAUACCCUGUGAUGACUUGAUAAUUAUACAGCAAAUUGGUUUGGUAAAAACUGAAAGGGCUGGGGCAAUGUGGCCCCAGAGUUUUCACCAAACUUUAAAGCCCCGUCUAAACAAAGGGCCAUAUUUCCACAUGUAGUUUUAAUAUCUUUCUUAUUUCAUGUUAUCAUUUGGUUCACAUAAAUCACAGGAUACUUGAAAAACUUGAGCUAGGGAAGCUGUUUUUCUGUGAGCCUUGGACAACAAGAAUUUUUGUGAGGGGCCUCAAUGGGGGCCAGUCACUUACUUUCGCCCAUGUGACCCCCUAACAGGUUAAUGACUCUGAUUUCUAAAUAAAAUGUUGGAAUAUAGAUGCAAAUGUAUGUUUGUAGCUCAAAUCCAUUUUACCAACAGUUACUGUUGCCAGUGGACUCUCUUGUCUCUUGACUCUUGUCUUAGACCCAAACUUCAGCUAGCCAGUAAAACCAUUUCCUACUAUGGUUUUGGCUCAUUUGCACAAUUUCUCUUAUGUGCCUUAUAGUGUCUCAAAGGGCUCUGUCUGAAUUAAGAAAACUCUUAAAUAAACUAUUUAUUUAAAAAAUGUCUGUGUGCACCCACAAAAUAACAGACUGAAUGAAGAUGGACAUGGUGUACAGACAAAGGGAAAUCAAAGCAUUUAACACUUGGACUGUGCAAAGAAGAUGCCACAUGGAAAAAAAACUAUGGAAGUACAGGACUGGAAAACACAGAGCUCCUUGCCCAUGCUGCAGGUCUGGUGUGAAGCCAGCCUGGCUCAAUUUGUGUUUUUUCUCUCCUCUCUAUGGGCUGCGGCAGGGUUUCUCCUCACCAGAGGUAACGAUGGCCUCAUUUUUGGCCGAGAUUUGGAAGGAACAGGAAAUUCUAUGGCUGUCCUCUGAGAGGUGGUUAUAUUACUGGGACGCCACUAAUAAAGGCUGGUGCCGGUCGGGGAUUCCACGUCUUGCUCUAUCCCUCUCUCCUUUCUUACCCUCUGAAGUCUCUCUUUCCAACUCUCCCUUUCUCUCAGAGAGGGCUGCAGUAUUUGGGGCUCAUCACAAAGCACAUCCAUCUCCAAUAGAGAAGACACAACAAAAUAAAUAGGUCUUUGUCUGUUCACUGAAAGUCACUGACUGCUACUUGUGCUAUGAUUCGACCCCCCUUGACAGCUGUUCUGUAUAAAUCACAACAGUCACACUGCAGAUUGUUCACUUCCCAAGCCUGUGAUGAAGCUGCCAGCCACACUCUGGCUGAGUUUCCUGCUCAGGCCUCACACAGUGUUAAUACCACACAAUCCAUCUCCCUCCAUCCAAGUUCUUACUGCUCAGCCAAAAAUGAUAUCUGAGAGAUAAAGCUUUUUGAAGGAGGCAGGCUUUGCUCUCAUCUCAUUUCAGCCUGGUGCACAAGGUGGUGUUGAGUCUGAAUCAGAGAUGCAAUAGAGAGUCUGCAUCACAGAUGAAAUAUCAGCGUCUAUCAACAUUACUGAGGCCAAAUGUCUGACUAGUCAUAGAAAAAAUUAACUGAAAGUCCAAUUACUGGCUUUUUUCUUUGAGUUCAGUGUCUAAAUACAGUAAAUCAAAAGCAGGCAUCUGAAGAAAACUUUGCUUUAAUAAUAAUGAUUAAAUCCAUAAUUAGAAAAUCUGAACAGUUGUCAUUUCAUUUUCUGUUGGCUUAUUAAUGAAUAAAUUGACUACUUCAGCACUGAUAUGUAAGAAAUGUAUUUGAAAUGAAAUUUUAGCUCUAGCAUAACACUGUCAGACGAAUCAUCUCAUUUUUAAGUUUAACUAGUUUAAAGUAGAAAGUUUGAUGGCACGUUUUCAUCAUUUCAACACAAUUUAUGAAUACAAAAGAAGUUUUCGUCAAGUACUGCUCCCACCAUGGUUUGUAUACUCCAGCUGUGGCACCUCCUUUACACAUCUCUUUUGAAAAGACUUAUGCAAAGGAUACAAAUGGAAACUUGAAGCUCCUCUGACACAGCUCCUCUCUCCUUGAGAUGCAUUUUAGGAAUUGAGAUGCCUUCAAAAUGACACGCAAAGAUCAAUUUCACAGAGGGGAAGACGGAAGAGAAAAGGAGGAUGAAGAGGCAAAAGUAAAGAGAAAUUAGAAGAAUCCCAGCUAUCACUUGCAUGUUUAGCCUCUUCUUGUCUGCACAGGCACACCUCUUCAGCAGCUCUUGAUGUUGCUGUGUCCUGCCCAGCUGAUCCUCAUUUGCUAAUCAACCACCACUGAGCAUGAUGAUGGCCUGAUGAAGUGCUUUUGACAUCUAGUGGGCACAAAAGACACAAGAACACAAAAACACAAGAAAAAAGACAGAAGAAACAGUAAAACCUGGGUCUCCCAUUGGAGUCCACUGUUUGGCCACCUGACACAUAAGUUCACAAUUCUUCUCCCACCAGAUCCUCAUCUCUGUUUUACUUGUUCCUCUUUUCUCAUCAUUUGCUUACCUGGCUUUCUAUCAUGUCGUACCAGUUAGGUACUGUCCAAUCAGCUUGUAUGAGCUCAUAAGCUGGUUGCAGUUCUCUGUGUGAGAGCUGAAGGGACAGAACCACAACCCGAAAACUAAUCCAAAGAAUCCCAGCUACUAUAUCCUUGACCCAAUGAGAGCCUUCUUUGCUGUACUGAACAUGCACUGACCUCCUUUACAAAACACGUCAGGCACUGCACCAGUGUUGUACUGGUUGUACUGUGCAGCUCAGGAAGUUGAAAUGAAUAUGAGUGUUGCAUGAACUACACUGAAUUAAAAAACAAGAUUACAUAACAUUAGGCCGAAAAUAAAUACUGCCCUAUGUGAAUUUGUAAAUAAAUGAGAUGUAUGUAUAUUUAACACUGUUUGCAGCAUAUUCUUUUGGUUAUAAUUAUGAAAUAUGUUGCUCAGAUUGUAAAAGAUUAAAUAGAAAGCUUUAUAUAGAUGUCAACCUACUGCUGUGAGAUCUCAUAUAUGAUUCCUCUCUGCAUUUUGUGUAUGGA